rnacentral:rRNA from 1 species
UCCGUCGGCGGUCCCGCAAGUCGUUUGUUUAAGCCCCUGGCCUAACUAGGGAACAGCAAGCGAAACUGCAGGACUUGAAUCUGUUUGGGGUAGUUGGAAUUCUUGGUGGAGGGGUGAAAUCCGUAGAUAUCAAGAGGAACGCCGCGCGCGAAGGCAGGCUACUAAAACACGAUUGACGCUCAUGGACGAAAGCUAGGGUAGCAAAAG